rnacentral:rRNA from 1 species
UACGUAGGGUGCGAGCGUUAAUCGGAAUUACUGGGCGUAAAGGGUGCGCAGGCGGUCCUGCAAGUCAGGCGUGAAAUCCCCGGGCUUAACCUGGGAAUGGCACUUGAAACUACGGGACUGGAGUAUGGCAGAGGGAGGUGGAAUUCCACGUGUAGCGGUGAAAUGCGUAGAUAUCGAGAGGAACACCUGCGGCGAAGGCGGGUUGCUGGGCCGACACUGACGCUGAUGCGCGAAAGCCAGGGGAGCGAACGGG